rnacentral:rRNA from 1 species
UAUGCUUAGCCGUAAACCUAGAUAACUAUAUUACCUUUAUUAUCCGCCCGGGUACUACGAGCACCAGCUUAAAACCCAAAGGACUUGGCGGUGCUUAACAACCCCCUAGAGGAGCCUGUUCUGUAAUCGAUAACCCUCGUUAAACCUCACCCCUUUUUGUCUAUCCCGCCUAUAUACCGCCGUCGUCAGCUUACCCUGUGAAAGACCAAUAGUAAGCACAAUUAGUUUAAACCCAAAACGUCAGGUCAAGGUGUAGCAUAUAAAGGGGGAAGAAAUGGGCUACAUUUCCUGCCAUCAGGAUAAUACGAAAAGUGCUCUGAAAUUAAGCACUAGAAGGAGGAUUUAGUAGUAAGUGAAGAUCAGACUGCUCCACUGAAACUGGCCCCUAAGCGCGCA